UGAACCUGCGGAAGGAUCAUUAUUGUAUAUUAAAAACAUAUAAUAAUUGAUACUUGAAGAGUAAAGUAUGUGUGAAGUUUAUUUCACAAAAAACAAAAUUUACUAGGUAGCCGUACGAUGAGCUUUAAAGAAUUUUGCCUAGUGUCCCUACCAUACAUAUUUGUGUAUGGUGAUAGAGGUGGAGUAGAUUGUCGCUACUCAUUUACCUUCUAUCAUAGUUUAUUUAUAACAUAUAAAAUGUUUGAAAUGAAAUAUAAUAAUAUAAAAGUAUAAAAAUGAAAACCUUAAACAGGGGAUCACUUGGCUCAUGGGUCGAUGAAGACCGCAGCAAACUGCGUGUCACCAUGUGAACUGCAGGACACAUGAUCAUUGACAUGUUGAACGCAUAUUGCACCUCAUGCGAUUAGAUUUUGAUUCAAGUAAUUGUUUUAAAAUCUGUGUGAGGUACACAUGGUUGAGUGUCGUUAUUUAUAUAUUAAACUAUCUUUUGUGCAGCAAUAGCACACAAAAGUGAAGAUGCGGCUUUACCACAUAUACUGUGGUAUGCUGUGAAAAAUUGGAGAUGAUUUAAUUAAUUUCCACUAUUAUUACUUACACUAAUAUAUGGUGGUUUAAAAAAUUAAUAACAAUUCAAAUAAUAUAAACGACCUCAACUCAUGUGUGA
rnacentral:rRNA from 1 species